GGUGAAGUCAGAUAGAUGGCCUAUUCUACUGGACUGCUAAUCCAGAGUCCGUUAGGACACGAGAGUUCGAAUCUCUCCUUCACCG
rnacentral:tRNA from 1 species